AUCUCUGAUGGGACCAUAGAUAUGUCACAAUGACUUCUGCAGGCAGGGCCCAGGCCAAAGAAUCAGCCAAUUAGUUCAGCAAACUUGGAUUCAAUCAAACAAUUAUCUAAAUAGCGACUGCAGAUUCAUCAAGUCAGGCCCAAAACAGUGGACGUGACAGCACAUUCCUACACUGAGAAGGCAUUGUGAAGACCCUGAUUCCAUAGCUGUGCAGCUGCAAGGUCACUAGACAGAUAAACUCAAGUCGCAAAACAUGGUUUUCCUUGAAAAGUAAGAAAUGAUGUAAUGCAUGUCUCAACAAAAUAACUGUCUUUGUUUCUCACUUCUGUAGUAUGAUUCCUCCUGCACAGAUCUCCCCCCACCCACAAAAUGCCUAAAAGGUAACUUAACUCUUUGUUGAGGGCUCAGUCCUUUGGAUGUUAAUCUGACCGGGCCGAUGAACCAAAGUAAUUAAUAAAUAUCCUCCUGAACCUCA